AUUUACGCCUUGAGCUAAAUGGAAACAACCGCUGAACCUCCUCAGGACCCCUCCGAUAAUGCAAACGAUGUCGUUUCCGAGGACUCGUCACCAGAAACCGACCUCAACAAUCACCAAAACUCGCCGGAAACCAACCUCCCACCUUCAUCUGAAACCCAGUCUCCACUUCCCAAUACAAUACUCGACGCUCCAGUUUCAGACUCCCAAGACGACUCUUCUGACCCCAUACAGCCACCCCAAAACCCUAACUCCACAUUCCCUGCUCCACCUCCCAAAAAACGACGCCGUAGAAAACGCUUCUUUACCGAAAUCAACGGCAAUCCCCCCUUCCGCCGCCACAGAAUUGGCGGCGGUCUCUCAAAAGAAGUCGAUGUCGAAGCGUUAAUAGCGAUCUCCGUCGGGUUUCCUGUCGAUUCGUUAACUGAAGAAGAAAUUGAAGCUAACGUGGUGUCUACCAUUGGCGGCACGGAGCAAGCUAAUUAUAUUGUCGUGAGAAACCAUAUUCUUAGUCGCUGGAGAUCCAGUGUCUCUGUUUGGUUAACGCGUGAUCAUGCGCUCGAGUCGAUUCGGGCCGAGCACAAAGCCUUAGUUGAUUCUGCUUAUAAUUUUCUGCUACAACAUGGCUACAUUAACUUUGGCGUGGCGCUGUCUAUUAAAGAAGCGCAGUUGAAAUUAAAUGAGGGAGUGGAGAGAGCCAAUGUGGUUGUUGUGGGUGCAGGACUCGCGGGGUUGGUUGCGGCGAGGCAGUUAAUGGCUAUGGGUUUUAAGGUUGUUGUUUUGGAAGGGAGGGCUCGGCCGGGUGGGCGUGUGAAGACUAUGAUUUUGAAGGGGGAAGGAGUGGUGGCUGCGGCGGAUCUUGGUGGGAGUGUUCUCACUGGAAUAAAUGGAAAUCCACUUGGAGUUCUAGCGAGGCAAAUGGGAUUGCCAUUGCAUAAGGUGAGAGAUAUUUGCCCUUUGUAUUUGCCGGAUGGGAAGGCUGUUGAUUCCGAGAUUGAUUCUAGGAUAGAGGCUUCUUUUAAUAAGUUAUUAGAUAGAGUUUGUAAGCUUAGACAGGCUAUGAUCGAGGAAGUUAAAUCUGUAGAUGUUAAUUUAGGGACCGCUCUUGAAGCAUUUAGGCAUGUUUAUAAGGUGGCUGAGGAUCCACAAGAGCUAAUGUUAUUAAAUUGGCAUCUUGCGAAUUUGGAAUAUGCGAAUGCUUCAUUAAUGUCUAAUUUGUCUAUGGCAUAUUGGGAUCAGGACGAUCCUUAUGAAAUGGGGGGUGAUCAUUGUUUUAUUCCAGGAGGCAAUGAUACUUUUGUUAGAGAGCUUGCGAAGGACCUUCCGAUUUUCUAUGAGAAGACGGUGGAGAGUAUAAGAUAUGGGGUUGAUGGGGUUAUUGUUUAUGCGGGUAGACAGGGAUUCCGUGGGGAUAUGGUGCUUUGCACCGUCCCUUUGGGUGUGCUUAAGAAGGGAUCAAUUGAAUUCGUCCCCGAGCUUCCACAAAGAAAGAAAGAUGCAAUUCAAAGACUAGGAUAUGGGUUACUAAAUAAGGUGGCGUUAUUGUUUCCCUAUAAUUUUUGGGGUGGAGAAAUUGAUACAUUUGGUCAUUUGACAGAAGAUCCAAGCAUGAGAGGCGAGUUUUUUCUGUUUUAUAGCUACUCAUCUGUUUCAGGGGGUGCUCUUUUAAUUGCUCUUGUUGCUGGGGAUGCUGCGGUUAAGUUUGAGACAAUGUCUCCAGUGGAUUCUGUGAAAAGGGUCCUUGGCAUAUUGCGAGGUAUUUUCCAUCCAAAAGGGAUUGUUGUUCCAGAUCCAGUUCAAUCGGUUUGCACUCGCUGGGGAAAAGAUUGCUUCACGUAUGGAUCUUAUUCAUAUGUUGCAGUGGGGUCUUCAGGAGACGAUUAUGAUAUUCUUGCUGAGAGCGUGGGGGAUGGAAGGGUUUUCUUUGCAGGAGAGGCGACAAACAAACAGUAUCCAGCAACAAUGCAUGGAGCUUUUCUUAGUGGGAUGAGAGAGGCUGCUAACAUAUUGAGAGUGGCCAACAGAAGGCCAUUAUCUGUGAUUGACAAAGUAAAUAAUAGCCUUGAGGAAAUUGACGAUCUUAAUGAAUUAUAUGACACCCCUAAUCUGAAAUUCGGGAGCUUCUCUAUUUUGUUUGAUCCCAGGUCAAAUGAUGGGGAAUCUCUGUCAUUGUUGAGGGUCAAAUUCCAAGGAGGAGAAUCAGAUUCUUGUUUUCUAUGUCUUUAUGGUUUGAUUUCUAGGAAGCAGGCUGUUGAACUUAGUGAGCUACAAGACGAUGGAAAGAGGAUGGAAAUGCUGUAUAAUAACUUUCAGAUAAGGUUAGUUGGAAGGAAAGGUUUGCCUAAUGCUGGGGAAUCUCUUCUAACAUACAUCAAAGAGGCUAGAUCCAAACUAAAUGUAGGGAAUUGAGAUUGAAAAUUCUCCCAUGUGCUAUGCCCCAUAGGAUUUUAUGUGGUCGGGUUUUCCACUUGGCAAUUUGAGCCAGGGUUUCUUUUCUACUUGUUCAUGCUUGAUUGUUGCCUGGGACAUCGGGGUCUGCUGGGUGUGCUCCUUCUACCUUCUCGCCAGGCUUUUGAAGCUUCUUGGGCUAGCGUGAAAUUUUCAAAUGACGGGCCUAAAACACAAGCCAUCCUCAACACCAACGGAUUCCAUUGUCGUAACGUCGAAUUACGGUUGGAGAAGCAGGAAGGGUUGGAAGCCGUCGCUUCCGCUCACACAGUGCACUGUGCCAACAACAAGAAAAGUGGAUUAGUGCGUAAAUCAUAAAUCAAUAUCUUGAAAAUAUGAUUAUCUGCUGCCCUAAACGACAAGGUGGACGUCUGAUAGCAUGUUUGGGAGUGUAACAAGGUGCAAUUAUAAUUGUUUUUUAAAAUAAUUUUUAUUUAAAAAUAUAUUAAAAUAA